UACGGAGGGAGCUAGCGUUGUUCGGAAUUACUGGGCGUAAAGCGCGCGUAGGCGGCUUUGUAAGUUAGAGGUGAAAGCCCGGGGCUCAACCCCGGAACUGCCUUUAAGACUGCAUCGCUUGAAUCCAGGAGAGGUGAGUGGAAUUCCGAGUGUAGAGGUGAAAUUCGUAGAUAUUCGGAAGAACACCAGUGGCGAAGGCGGCUCACUGGACUGGUACUGACGCUGAGACGCGAAAGCGUGGGGAGCAAACAGG
rnacentral:rRNA from 1 species